AUUGAUCACUAGGGGAGUCUUUUAAGAAGACUGAGACAGAGGUUCUGGACCCUUUGAACUUGAUCCAGUUGAUGCUGGCGUAAGGAAGUGGCUGUCUUUUUCG
rnacentral:ncRNA from 2 species